rnacentral:rRNA from 1 species
CCUACGGGAGGCAGCAGUGAGGAAUAUUGGUCAAUGGGCGGGAGCCUGAACCAGCCAAGCCGCGUGAAGGAAGAAGGCGCCAGGCGUCGUAAACUUCUUUUGUCGGGGAACAAAGGGCGCCACGUGUGGCUUUGUGAGUGUACCCGAAGAAAAAGCAUCGGCUAACUCCGUGCCAGCAGCCGCGGUAAUACGGAGGAUGCGAGCGUUAUCCGGAUUUAUUGGGUUUAAAGGGUGCGUAGGCGGUCCGGAAAGUCAGCGGUAAACGCCCGGGGCUCAACCCCGGCGAGCCGUUGAAACUGUCGGACUAGAGACGGCGAGAAGUACGCGGAAUGCGCGGUGUAGCGGUGAAAUGCAUAGAUAUCGCGCAGAACUCCGAUUGCGAAGGCAGCGUACCGGCGCCGGACUGACGCUGAGGCACGAAAGCGUGGGUAUCGAACAGGAUUAGAUACCCGGGUAGUC